GUUGCUUGUUUCUUGCAGUCAGUCUGUCUUAACUGAGAUAGCAUCCUGUUCCCUCUGCCAGAAAUGCCUUUUUAUCCUUGUCCAAAAACUCAAUCUCAUCUUUUACUGGUCAUCGGUCAAGCUGCCCCUGACCACCCCUGACUGUUGCAUGCAAUAAAUUAUUUACUGAAUAAUCCUACAUCACACAAUGUUCACGUGCCCCACCCCUCUCUGCAAGGCUAGCCUUCCUGCUGAGGGUGGUUUGAAGACCAGAGGUUUGAGCAAGGAGAGCUGCAGAGGUAAGGCGCCAUAAGCCAUGAGACGCACCUGUUCCAGCAAAGAGAUGCGGGCACAGCACCUCAUUUCUAGGUAGACCACCCCUCUUUGCCACCAUGGAUGCGAUGGAGGCUGACACCACCAAGAUUGUGGAAACCUGGAACCAAAGGAUCCCCUAAAUAAACUGGCAUCAGAUGGAAGGUGUAACUCGCUUCGGUGCACCAGGAAGAGGUCAAGGCUCCAAGCUGCCGUGAAACCACGUAAAAGUUACCAUCCUGAAUUGCUACAAAAAUUUUUGCACCACAGAGAUUCCGAUUUACAUUGUAUGUUAACAUACCUAAAAAUCCUCAAGUUUAUAUAUAACCCCUCUCCAAGUCAGGCUCACCUUUUAUAACAAUACCAAACUCUAUCAUAGAUUUUAUCUCCUUUGGAUUUCUACUUAUACCCCCCCACCCCUUUGAAGCUCCCCU
rnacentral:lncRNA from 1 species